UUCAGUUCUCUCUUCUCUUUUGAUGACCUGAGAGAAUCUGUCCAUCAGCUGAGAGACAAACUGGAGGAUUCCUGCAAAGAGGAGCUCAAGAAGAUCUCAGACAGAGAAACACUCACCAACAUUGCUCCCAGAACCAGGAACCACUUCCUACGAUACUCCCGUCAGCUCACUCUGGAUCCGA